AUAAUAUUAUAUUUUAAAAUCAAAUAUUUCAAAAUAAUAAAAUCACGCAAUAAUUAAACUUAGUUGUCUCAGAAAGAGAAAUUAAUUGUUUAUUAUAAUCUUUUUAGAGAAGAAAAGAGAUCUUUCUUUUCGAACGAUGGUGGACCAGUGGAAUGGCGGAAUAAUUUUAAUAUAUCUUUUAUACACAAAUCUACUUUCCUUGUGAUAAUGUUUUUGUUAUAAUGAAAUCUAAAUUUCAUUUUAUUGAUAUAGAAAUGAUAUAGAAAUAUUAUUUGCAGCCUAUCAACUAUUGAAAUUACUGUUAAAAUGAAAUUUACGUUUUAUUAUAACAAAAACAUUAUCGAGAGGAAAAUAAAUUUAAUGUUAAAUCUAAAAAGUUAUCAUAAAUAGAGAGUAUAUUAGAAUUAUUGGAUUAUUCGACUAAUCCUUUAUCGUUUGAAAGGAAAGAUUUUCUCUCCUUCAGUAAGAAAAAAAUAUAAUAAACAAUUAAUUUCUUUUUCUUUUGUUCGCGAUGGAACUAAAUAGGUUUUUGUAUAUGCUAGGGUGGAAUACCUUCAGCAUUUAUCCGCUAUGGGCAGCACUAGUCUAGAAACAACCGAAAGCAUAAACGUGAGCACUCUUAUUUCCUUGAUAAUAAUAAAGGUGUCAAAUAUGUCAUGAAGAAACAGAUGGAAAAACCUACGUUAGAAGAAAAUCACGACCAGGCAUCCAAGAUAGAUGGCCUGAGUGCCUUUCUUCGCGUCCCCAAGACCCAUUUGACCAACAGUUCAUAACGACAUAGGGUGCGCUACUGCCAUAUAAAAAACGUGGGUUUAAAUGCAAUGCAAUUGCCGGAUGUGGAUAAACUGCUUUUCCCUUUUGUAAAUUUACAUAAAAUCUGUUAGCAAAUAUAGAAACAAAUUAUUCUUUA